rnacentral:rRNA from 1 species
GAUGAACGCUGGCGGCGUGCCUAACACAUGCAAGUCGAGCGAACAGACGAGGAGCUUGCCUCUCUGACGUUAGCGGCGGACGGGUGUGUAACAUGUGGAUAACCUACCUAUAAGACUGGGAUAACCUCGGGAAACCGGAGCUUAUUACGGAUAAUCUACUGAACCGCAUGGUUCAAUAGUGAAAGACGGUUUUGCUGUCACUUAUAGAUGGAUCCGCGCCGCAUUAGCUAGUUGGUAAGGUAACGGCUUACCAAGGCGACGAUGCGUAGCCGACCUGAGAGGGUGAUCGGCCACACUGGAACUGAGACACGGUCCAGACUCCUACGGGAGGCAGCAGUAGGGAAUCUUCCGCAAAGGGCGAAAGCCUGACGGAGCAACGCCGCGUGAGUGAUGAAGGUCUUCGGGUCGUAAAGCUCUGUUAUUGGGGAAGAACAAAUUUAUAAGAAACUAUGCACGUCUUGACGGUACCUAAUCAGAAAGCCACGGCUAACUACGUG